UUACCAGAGUACUAUGAAUAUUAAAAAUUUAAAACUCAAAGGACUUGGCGGUGUUUUAGACCACUUAGGGGAACCUGUCUCGUAAUCGAUGAUCCACGAUGCACCUGACCUUUUUUUGUUUUCAGCUUGUAUACCGUUGUCGUCAGGUAACUUUUUAGAGAUUAAUAGUUAGCAAUAGAAAUUAAAUAUAAUUUAGUACGUCAAAUCAAGGUGCAGCUAAUGGAAAGGAGAGGAUGGGUUACAAUUAUAUGAAUUAUAGCGGAUAUAUGUAUGAAGUUGCAUAAAUUAUAAGGUGGACUUAAAAGUAAAUUAGAAUAUAUAAAUAAUUUGAAUGAGGCUCUGAAGCGUGU
rnacentral:rRNA from 1 species